UUGCACCACCUCCUCCUGGAAGCUUAGAACCUUUCUCCAAACUAGGAUUAUUCCCUCCUAAGACCUCUCACAUCUUUUAGCUUGUGCCUUUUUUGCAGGUGCUUUGAUUCCACUUGUACUUCAACCAUCUGUGAGCUACUUCUAUUCUCUUUAGGAGACUGGCAACUCCCUAAAGGCAGAGGGGAGGAAACAGUGGAAACUCAGAGGUGCAGACAUUUGCCUAAGGAUAUACAGAAGAUAAGGAGCAGAGCUGACAUCAGAACUCAAGCUUGCAAAUGUGUAUGCGGGCCACCAUGCCACAUCUGCCACCUCUCUCACAGCACUGCUGGGGGAACAGGAGAAGCAUUGGAGGUGGCAGGCUUUGCCUUACUACACAUGGCAUAUGCAUUUUAAAUAAGGACUUUGAUCUGGAAGCAGGAGAGCAUAUUUAUUGCCUCAACUCAGCUUGAUUUGGGCUCUUCUGUCCCACAAAUGACACCAACCCUCACUGGCCUGAAGACCUUGCCUGAAAGAGAAAGAGCAGUGGCAUGAAGUCAGAAGAGGUGCGUUUACCUGCCAGCUUUGCCUCUGUCUGUGUUCUCUCCCUGAGCCUCAGGAAUCGCACUUCAGUAAUGGUUUUGCUAUGAGAAUUUGGAAGCAGCACGUGUAAAAACCCUAGCUCAGAUUGGGUACUAGAUAGACAUCAGCAGUGAAGAUUCACUGAGUUUGCCCCAGGGCAGGCAGUGGAACGGGUACAUUAAUGCAUAUCCCAAAUCCUCACAGCCACCCAGAGGUAGAUCCUGUUACUGUCAUCACAGCUACCUGAUCAGAAAACUGAAGUUCCAAACACAAGAACUGCAUUGCGAGUGGAUUUUCAACCCAGAAAUGCACUUUGAAGAGACAUGCGUUCGUAAGAGGUCGCUCCUGAGAAUGUGACAGAAAUCACUGUGCCACCUGGCUUUCUUCUUUGUGAGUCUAUAUCUAGGAGUGGACUAGACUGAUGCUCUGUGGUAUUAUUCUAACCAACAGCAGGCCAGGCAUGUUGGCUCAUGCCUGUAAUCCCAGCACUUUGGGAGGCUGAGGCGGGUGGAU
rnacentral:lncRNA from 1 species